rnacentral:rRNA from 1 species
UUGAUUCAGCGGCGGACGGGUGAGUAAUGCCUAGGAAUCUGCCUGGUAGUGGGGGACAACGUUUCGAAAGGAACGCUAAUACCGCAUACGUCCUACGGGAGAAAGCAGGGGACCUUCGGGCCUUGCGCUAUCAGAUGAGCCUAGGUCGGAUUAGCUAGUAGGUGAGGUAAUGGCUCACCUAGGCGACGAUCCGUAACUGGUCUGAGAGGAUGAUCAGUCACACUGGAACUGAGACACGGUCCAGACUCCUACGGGAGGCAGCAGUGGGGAAUAUUGGACAAUGGGCGAAAGCCUGAUCCAGCCAUGCCGCGUGUGUGAAGAAGGUCUUCGGAUUGUAAAGCACUUUAAGUUGGGAGGAAGGGCAGUAAGCUAAUACCUUGCUGUUUUGACGUUACCGACAGAAUAAGCACCGGCUAACUCUGUGCCAGCAGCCGCGGUAAUACAGAGGGUGCAAGCGUUAAUCGGAAUUACUGGGCGUAAAGCGCGCGUAGGUGGUUCGUUAAGUUGGAUGUGAAAGCCCCGGGCUCAACCUGGGAACUGCAUCCAAAACUGGCGAGCUAGAGUAUGGUAGAGGGUGCGUGGAAUUUCCUGUGUAGCGGUGAAAUGCGUAGAUAUAGGAAGGAACACCAGUGGCGAAGGCAACCACCUGGACUGAUACUGACACUGAGGUGCGAAAGCGUGGGGAGCACACAGGAUUAGAUACCCUGGGAGUCCACGCCGUAAACGAUGUCCACUAGCCCUUGGAAUCCUUGAGAUUUUAGUGGCGCAUCUCACGCACUAAGUUGACUGCCUGGGGAGUA